AUGACGAAGACGAUGCCGCGUGAUUCUUCAGCGAGUGGAGCAUUGGUGCCGAGCGACUCGGCGGCGAUGGCGGCUACCGCGGCGGCGGCGACGACAGCGGCGGGGAAGCUCCCGUUCCCGCUGCUCACGAGGACGAACCACGCAGCGUGGGCGAUGAGGAUGAAGUACCUCUUGCGCGCCAAUGGCGCGUGGGGGGUCGUUGAUCGCGAGGCGUCGGCCUCGGAGGUCGACAAGGGCAAGGAGGAGAUGGCCAUGACGAUCAUCUCCCAGUCGAUCGACGACACGACGCUGCUGCGCGUUGCGGAGAAGGAGACCGCCGCCGAUGUGUGGGAGGCGCUACGCUCCAUGCACGUUGGCGUUGAGUGCGCCCGAGAGGCGAGGAUUCAAUCCUUGCGCUCAGAAUUUGAUGGCCUCAAGAUGGGUGAUGCAGAGUCCAUGGAUGAUUUCGCGGUGACGUUCGCGACGCUCGUGGGGCGCAUCCAUGAGCUUGGUGAUACGAUGGAGGAGAAGUACAUCGUGAAGAAGCUACUUCGAGCCAUCUCCAAGAAGUUCAUCCACGUUGCGUCAUCGAUUGCGUUGUUCGGCGACACCAACAAGAUGGCCAUGGAGGAGGCCAUUGGUUCACUCAAGGCGCAUGAGGAGCUCGUCACGGGGCGGGAGACGACACGUGAAGAAGAGCAGCUCCUCAUGGCGAGAGGGAAUGACUCAUCAUGA
rnacentral:rRNA from 1 species